GACGGUUUGGCUGAGUGGUCUAAGGCGUUGGAUUUAGGCUCUAAUUCGAAAUGGUGUGGGUUCAAAUCCCACAGCAGUCA
rnacentral:tRNA from 1 species